rnacentral:rRNA from 1 species
GUCCACGCCGUAAACGGUGGGCGCUAGUUGUGCGAACCUUCCACGGUUUGUGCGACGCAGCUAACGCAUUAAGCGCCCCGCCUGGGGAGUACGAUCGCAAGAUUAAAACUCAAAGGAAUUGACGGGGCCCCGCACAAGCAGCGGAGCAUGCGGCUUAAUUCGACGCAACGCGAAGAACCUUACCAAGGCUUGACAUAUACAGGAAUACGGCAGAGAUGUCGUAGCCGCAAGGUCUGUAUACAGGUGGUGCAUGGUUGUCGU